GUAGGCAGGGGCCCUAGCCGACUAACGCAAGAAGGCAGUUCUCAGAAGAAACUUCUUCACGGAGGUGUCUCCCCGCGCUGGGUUUUGGCAGCCGCACUGCAUUCCUGGAGGACUGGGUCGUGUCAGAACAGUGCCCGAGGGCUGCGCCCCCUGCUUAGCAAGACAAGUUCAAAGACAUCAGAAGUCGGUCUCUGAGACGGACAGGAAAACGAUGCUUUCUACUUAGCCGCCAGAAGAGUUUAAAGUCUGAGGCUUCAUAGACAUUCAAAGAACCCAGAGCAAUCCUGAGAGGACCUCAGAGAGAACACCUGCUUGCCUUCUGAGUCCUCCUGACGAAGAGGAGAAUGUGCCCUGUCGACGAAAAUAAUCCAUAACCAAUCUAUAAACAAGAAUUUGGGAGGCUGGGAGCCAGGCCCCUUGCCAGAAGGGAGGCUAGAAGACAGGAGGAGGUACAGGCUUUCUGUCUGCUACUGCUGGUGCCAUCAAUGGCAGUAGUACCAGGACCCGCGAAUGCAG
rnacentral:lncRNA from 1 species